rnacentral:misc_RNA from 1 species
AAGAAAAUUCAAAAUGUAUCAGUGAAAAUUCAAAUUUUCAUAUUCAAAAUGUAUCAACACAACAAUUAAACUUCAAAUAAACUUAAAUUUUCAAUAAUUACAUGAAUUCAAAUUCCUUUUUCUCCCAAAUUACCUUAUGCAGGCAUUUUUUUUGUAGAGUCCCAAUCUCCAAUCAAUCAAUGGAAUCAAUUCGACAUGUAUGAGCAUCUCCAAUUGAUGUAGCAGAUCUUGAGAUGGAGCCAUGGAGCUGUCAGUGGAGGACGAGAUUGUGGAGAUUGAAUAAUUCAACACGCAAGCAUCUCCGUUCUCCAUCGUCACGAUGCGUGCGAGAAAGGAAGGCGAUGGAAAGACGAUACCUGAGAAUUGAGUUUGAGCUAUUGAGAUGAGAGGUGAGCUCCACAGAGUACUACAAGUCUACAAUUGUGAUUGAGAGGCACUAGGUGAAGUCAAGGGUGUAAGAUGAAGGUUAACUGGUCGCGGGCAGAGGGAAAUUAAGGGGAGAUGAAGGUGAGGGAUGGUUGAGCGUGCUGAGAUGAAGAAAUUUGUUAGAGGAGACUGAAACCGGAAGGCAAAAAGAGAACAAGGCAUUUUAGAAUUUUUAUGGCAAAACGGUAACUCCUUAAGCAUAAAACGGCAAGGAUUAUAAUGACUUAAAUAUUAUCAAUCGAUUUUGUUUUAUCAGUUAUUUUGAAAUAAUUAAUCGAAUCGAUAAAUCGAUUUUCACUCAAAAUAUCAACGGAGUCGAAUAAUUGAAAUUUAAAAAAAAAAAAAUUUAAUGAUUCUGUUAAUUUUUCGAUCAUAACUGAAAAAUGCUGAGCCUAGGCGAAAUUCCCCAAUAGUAAGAAUGGAUAAAACAACAAAGGGAAUGAAAAGAAGAGCCGAUAUGCUGUUGCCAGUUCCAUCAUCAGUAGAGGAUAUCUGUUGGGAGCUAUCGAGUGAGGUUAUUGUGCCUGAAGGCAAGGCCUCUUCAGGGGCAGCAUAGAUUCUCCAGACAUGGGUUUUCCUCUGGUGAAUUUUGUGAAAAUGGAUAGCUAGUUUUGGUUUGAGAGUAGUUGAAGAGGAAGUGAAGGGCAGGGCAGGGUAGAGCUGAGUUAUGGAUGGUGAUAAGAGAAGGGUAAAGGAGACUUGUGGUAAUGGAGAGGAGAGGAGAUGAGGGGAGGUGGAGGUGCAGGUGGGAUGGACAUGCCGUAGCCAUGAGCUCCGAAGUCCACAGGCAGAGACGAGAUUGAGCUAUGGCUAUGGGAUUAUAAGAUUUGGGCCAUGGGGCUUCCUGAGUUCUUUUGCUAUCGCAAUCAUUUUAAAUUUUUGAAAACAUUUUCCUUUGCAUUUUCACGUUGAUAGUGUUGAUUUUUAUGUUAUUUAAUGUACCAAACUGUAAAAAAU